UAAGUUUCUUUAAGUCUCCUUAGUCUAAUAGAUCAUAACCUACCAAUAAAUCUCUUUAAGUAUCCUUAGCUGGGAUAUAUAAUCCAUGCUACCCAGGAGGCUAAGAUCUGAAGAUCAUGGUUCUAAACCAGCCCAAGCAGAAAAGUCUAUGAGACUCUCAUCCCAAAUUAACCACCAAAGAGCCAGAACUGG